AUAAAGCAACAUGCAUUAUCUCAAGGUUGUGUCCACAUAGCCUUACACAACGAUUCUUAAUCUUCUCAGCUAAGCUCGAACUGGUUGCUAUUCUCAAGCUAUUUGGCAUUCACACGAACAAGUGUGAGCAGAUAAACUUACACAUUAAAAAGUGUAUUAAUUUCACAAUUGCUGGAAAAAAAUAACACAAGAGCGGUGCCAGCUUCCCCGUAUCCGUCCAUGCUCCUGAAAACCCACACCUACACCCACCUAAAUCUAGUAGUGAUUGAGCCAGCCGGGAAGGAGCCACCAUUGAAGUACUUGGGGGAUGAAGAAACAGAAUCAUCCGGAUUCCAUGUGUAAAUCAUUGGUGCUCCUAGGCAUUUGAUCAAACACAACCAACGCCUAGUACUGUCAGCACCACAUCUGCAGCUGCAGGAACACCACCAACUGAAUGGGCUCUGGUGGUGUUGUUGAACGGCCUAGGUGGCCAAGUUUGAACGAAACCUGCAAGAUGAACCCAAGAGGAGCUCCUUCACCUGCAAGAUGAACAGAGAAUGCACACUAAGGUGACCUGAAGAACCAUCAGAUGUUGAACUGGAUAUACACAAGAUAAGGAGAUGAACAUCCGGGAGGGGGGAGGGGGGGAAAAGCUAGCGCCUCCCGAGCUGCGGCGUAGAACGGCUUAGCGCAUGUGCACAGUACCAUCAACGUUGAACUUGUUGAGUUCUGAUUUUUGAACCUUCGCAGUAGUAAUACAUGUACUGGCGGUACAUGCUUCUGUUGUCGGGAAGUUGACCUACAGAAACCAAAACACUCCUGGGUGGACACACAAAAUCAUGAUAAAAAUAGCAGCAGCAAGAAGCAAUCAGAAGUGAAUAUGCAGUAGUACUAUAAUGGAAUAUUAGUCAGAAUUGAAAUUUAGAUAACUAUGGCACACACAUCAUACAAUAAUUUUGAACUUACAUAAUCCUAAAACAAGAACUUCAUUUUUAAAAAAUUAGCAAUUUUGAAUGCACUAGCAAUGUAAUUGAAUUUUUUAGACCAUAGUAAUUGAACUUCAAGCACAUUUCUUUAUAAAACAUUUGUUUUUUUAUUUGCACAAUAAUUAUGUCCUUGUCAGUAAGAAUCAUCAGAAUUGUAAAUGGCAUCCUUGUCAGUACGACUCAUCAGUACUAGUGCUCUUUUUUUCCAAAAGAAUGUGUUAGAAUAGAAGCAUUUUUCCUAUAUGAUGUUACUUUUAAUGUAAACCUUUCUUACCACGGAAAUUAAUGUAACAAUAAGCAAUGAGAGAUACAGGUGAGCAUACAGUUGCGAGAUCACGAGUAACAUGAAGUAAAAUUUUCACUAAAAUUUUGUGAACAAAAUACAUUAAGAAACUUAGUUCAGAAACAAAUAUUUAAGAUAAUGGUGCCGGCCACGCGACCAGAGAUGUCGUGUGCGCCUGGAAAUUAAGCUAAUGGCCCAACAUUGUGCUAAUUUGUAUGUAAAGCACUCGUUCGACAUGAGCUCCUUUGAGGAAGCUUGCAUGGUCUAGAGAAAGCAAGUUUUUUUGUAUGUAAAGUACCGUACAGACAUUUUGUGCAUAGUAUAUACUGCAUGAGCUGAUCACAUACUCCAUAAUACUACAGUAAUAAUAAAAAUAUACAAUAAAUGAAUGGUUUUACUUCUCCCUAAUACUGAAACACACAUGAGAAUCUAAUACUACAAGCCUGCAAUAUGAACCACAAAAGCCAACAAGAUGAGUUGAAAAAACCUACAAACCUGUUGAUUUGUUUUUGUAAGUACAUGUGCUAAACUGAUAUAGUUUUAGUCAAUGACCUGUUGUAAAAUAAGUAAUAGUAUUGCUACUGGCUUUUAUAUAUUUCACGAAAAAAUCAAACAAAGUUAAGAAAAGGCAGACGACUGCAUAAGUACUAGAACUGCUACUGUUUUUGUACAUGGUCUCGAAAAAUCAAACCUUUUGUAAUAUCUACUUCAAACCUGUUGUAACAACCGCUUCCACUCUGUGGGAGCUUGUAGUACCCAAACAAUCACUUUGGAAGAAAUAAGCUUCCCAACCUGAAUUUUUGCUGAAAGAAAAAGGCACCACAACCUCAGUGGUAAGAUAUUUCACAAGCCUUACAACAACGA
rnacentral:lncRNA from 1 species